UUGGUUGAAAGUGAAACAUAGGCGGGACGUGGGAUGGCAAAUUGAACUCCAUCCACGGAGCGAUCUCCCGGAGCAGCAUGGAGUUCCUGUACACCCUUCUCCGAGGAGUUUCUGAUUCAGUUUUUGGCAUCAUAACACCACUAUUGGCUGUGGUGAUUAUCUUCCUUCUGUGGUGGGUGAAUUGCAAAAAGAAAAAGGCUCUUCCUCUGAGUAUCAUGGAGGUUGGACAUGGACAACCCAUCCACAGAGUCCACCACCAGUGAGAACCGAUCUAUGCCUAGAGUGGAGGAUGGGACUGUGGCCGGCGCUGGGAUUGGAUCCUUCUAUUCCGGUUCAAGAGAAAGAAGCCACUCAGCACAUACAGAUCCUCUUUAGAAGUCACCCGGUCCCCUCAUCCCUGUUACAUACUUACCAUGCCAGCUGGGGAUGUGCAAUAUUACCGUCUACUUUUUAAAAAAAAUAUAUGAAUAUUUAUUCUUUUAAUUUUACUUUUUGUAUCCACGAAUAGGUCAAGCCAGACUUUACAGUGUAUCUAAAGCCAAACAUUUGUUAGAUUUGGAUGGGACAUCACCACUCGGAUAUUCUUGCCAGCUGCCCCCACCCGGGGUGAUUAUAUUUUCUAGCUGUGUCCCCACUGGGGUGAUUAUAUGUCCUGGUGCUCAUUCCCAAAAAAGUGAUGGGAGAAUAUAUACUGUCUCGGGGGCAACGCCGCAGCCGCCCCCGAGACUCUGGAGGGACGAUUUUACAUUGCCCUCUAUGGAGAUGGUUCACAUCUCCACCCUGAACGCCGUAC